UUGUGUGUGUGUGUGUGUGUGUGUGUGUGUGUGUGUGUGUGUGUGUGUGUGUGACCAAAGAAAACAAUAAUUAAUUGUUACUACUUUCUGAAAAGACUGAAGGAAUGUAAAUGACAUGGGUGUAAGAUUUCUAACUGUUCAGACAUUCUAAAGCAAAAAUGCAAGGAUGUUGGCAUGAAUGGAUUUUUUCUUUUCUCUUUGCCAAAUAUUAGUUGCACCAAAUUUCAGGUGGUAUUGAGGAAAAGGCCCUGGGAAGAGUGACAAAUUUUGGGCAGAUCCAGGCUACAUGGCCAAUAAUUGAGAAUAAACCUGUCUCCAGUAAAUUUUGUUAAAAAUGUGUUGGUCUUCACUUGCUAUUCUGCUACCUUUUGUUCUUGUUUUUGUCAUUUUAUUUUAUUUUUAACUUCUGCCAUGAAGUUGAUUCAAGAUAAAUAACAAUCAUUGAAGACCACAUUUUACUCAUCCUUGUAUCAUUAUAUCUUUAGCCUCUCUUCUAUUCAGAUGAGGAUUCCAGGUUUAUUUAAACAGAUUUGUCUGUUUUUAUGUUUGUUCUCAAUUACUAAUUGCUGAGGACUUCAAGUGUGGGACAUCCUCGGAUAUUUGACCACAUUAUUUGUCUUUAGUUUAACUUUUUGAGAUUCAGGAUGAUGCUGAGCACCCAAAGAUAGAUCUAAAUAGAAUGGAACAUCAUUUAGCUCUUGUGGACACACAAUAUAAAUUUGUUACAUAAAUGUGUUGGCAGUUUAGAGUUUCCUUCUGCUUUGUGAGUUAUUUUCACUAUAUUCAUAAUAAUGGUUAUUGUCAUUCAUUAUCAUUAUUGUUAGUUUUAUGAUCUUGGUUAAUAUUAAUAAUGAUGCUGAUUUGUAUUUUAUGGCCUACAAGAUGCAUCUAAUAUGUAGUGUUUAGUGUUAGAAAACGAAAUUUGACCAAUAAAUUCUAGAAAUUACCCUGAUCCACCUAAGGAUGGUAUUCUCAACCCAAAAAUGUCAUAUUUUUAGUUGUUUUUCUCAAUCCAAAAAUGUCAUAUUUUUAGUUGUUUUUAAGUUUAAAUUUUUUAUGGCUGGUACAGCAGUUGUUGAUUGUUGUCUUUGUGACUUUUCAAACAUGAUAUAAGAUACAGGAUUAUUUUGAGUCCAUUUUUUAAAUCAGAAAGAAGUGCUUCUUGAAUGUCACAAAAUAGCAAAAAUGUUAUGACUGAUAAGGCUCAUAGGACCUCACAUUACAUAAUGUAAAACAUUAAUUUCUUUCAUUUUUUUAUAUAUUAUAUUUCAUUACUGAUUAAACAUAAUAUAAGUACAGAAUAAAGUGGCUGAAAUUCAAAAUUGAAAGAUUUUAGUACAUAAGAAUCUGACCAAAAGAAUCUCUCCACUUUAUAAAACAGAUUCCGUCCAUAAGCAGUACAUUUUUAUAAUAUUGUUUUUGUGAAAAUAUCUAUUUUUUAUUAAUUAUAUGUACUUUACCUUUCAUUCACUUGUUGUGAAGGUAAAAAUUUCAGUGGUAUGGAAUAAAAUCUCUUAUUACAUAA